rnacentral:rRNA from 1 species
CCUACGGGAGGCAGCAGUCGAGAAUCAUUCACAAUGGGGGAAACCCUGAUGGUGCGACGCCGCGUGGGGGAAUGAAGGUCUUCGGAUUGUAAACCCCUGUCAUGUGGGAGCAAAUUAAAAAGAUAGUACCACAAGAGGAAGAGACGGCUAACUCUGAGCCAGCAGCCGCGGUAAUACAGAGGUCUCAAGCGUUGUUCGGAAUCACGGGGCGUAAAGCGUGCGGAGGCUGUUUCGUAAGUCGUGUGUGAAGGGCGCGGUCUCAACCCGCGGACGGCACAUGAUACUGCGAGACUAGAGUAAUGGAGGGGGAACCGGAAUUCUCGGUGUAGCAGUGAAAUGCGUAGAUAUCGAGAGGAACACUCGUGGCGAAGGCGGGUUCCUGGACAUUAACUGACGCUGAGGCACGAAGGCCAGGGGAGCGAAAGGGAUUAGAUACCCCAGUAGUC